GAAUCACACACAUGACAUCAAGUCAUAUUCGACUCCAAAACACUAACCAACCUUCUUCUUGCUUCUUAAGGCUUUCAUGGUGUAGGCAAAGUCCGUAUGAGUCUUUGGCUUUGUGUCUUCUAACAAGGAUACUAUUCUUACGCCUAUAAGAUCCAGUUGCGGUUUAAGUUCUUAUACUCAAUCAUACACAUGACAUCAAGUCAUAUUCGACUCCAAAACACUAAACAAGCUUCUUCUAGCUUCUCAAAGCUUUCAUGGUGUAGCCAAAGUCCGUAUGAUUCUUUGGCUUUGAUCUUCUAACAAGGAAAAACUUCUUAGGCUUAUAAGAUCGGGUUGCGGUUUAAGUUCUUAUACUCAAUCAUACACAUGACAUCAAGUCAUAUUUGACUGCAAAACACUAACCAACCUUCUUCUUGCGUCUCAAAGCUUUCAUGGUGUAGCCAAAGUCCGUAUAAGUCUUUGGCUUUGUGUCUUCUAACAAGGAUACAAUUCUUAUGCCUUUAAGAUCCGGUUGCGGUUUAAGUCCUCAUACUCAAUCAUACACAUGACAUCAAGUCAUAUUCGACACCAAAACACUAACCAACCUUCUUCUUGCUUCUCAAAUCUUUCAUGGUGUAGCCAAAGUCCGUAUGAGUCUUUGGCUUUGUUGUUCUAAGAAGGAUACAAUUCUUACGCCUUUAAGAUCGGGUUGCGGUUUAAGUUCUUAUACUCAAUCAUACAAAUGACAUCAAGUUAUAUUCGACUCCAAAACACUAACCAACCUUCUUCUUGCUUAUCAAAGCUUUCAUGGUGUAGCCAAAGUCCGUAUGAGUCUUUGGCUUUCUGUCUUCUAACAAGGAUACAAUUUUUACGCCUAUACGAUCCGGUUGCGGUUUAAGUUCUUAUACUCAAUCAUACACAUGACAUCAAGUCAUAUUCGACUCCAAAACGCUAACCAAACUUCUUU
rnacentral:sRNA from 1 species